rnacentral:rRNA from 1 species
GAUGAACGCUAGCUACAGGCUUAACACAUGCAAGUCGAGGGGCAGCGCAGUGUAGCAAUACAUGGGCGGCGACCGGCGCACGGGUGCGUAACGCGUAUCCAACCUUCCCGUUACUCUCGGAUAGCCUUCCGAAAGGGAGAUUAAUACGAGAUGGUGUUGAAAUUCCGCAUGUUAUUUCAACUAAAGAUUCAUCGGUAACGGAUGGGGAUGCGUGACAUUAGGUAGAUGGCGGGGUAACGGCCCACCAUGCCGACGAUGUCUAGGGGUUCUGAGAGGAAGGUCCCCCACACUGGAACUGAGACACGGUCCAGACUCCUACGGGAGGCAGCAGUGAGGAAUAUUGGUCAAUGGCCGGAAGGCUGAACCAGCCAAGUAGCGUGAAGGAUGAAGGUUCUAUGGAUUGUAAACUUCUUUUAUACGGGAAUAAAGCCCGCUACGCGUAGCGGUUUGUAUGUACCGUAUGAAUAAGCAUCGGCUAACUCCGUG